rnacentral:lncRNA from 1 species
UGUGCUUCUGACAUUCUUCUCAUUUGGCUUACGGCUUACCCUGGCCUUGGUUGUGUUUUCUCUUCUCCAUAUUGCUUGGUUCUGUCAGGACCAGUCCCAGCUGGGAGUUUCUCUCCCCGAUCUAGUGCUUUUAAUUUGCCAUGCUAUCUUAUCAGCGGCAGAGAAGCACAACUUUCAGCCAUCGUCUGUAACAACUAUGUAAGCCGGCUACUCUCGGCAUUUUCACAGCUACCAUAUCUUCACUCCUGUGCCUGACUCCUUUGAGAACAAUAUAGGGUCACAGUAGCUACAUGGUUUCCACAUGCACAAAGUUCUGUCUUGGCUUCUCGGAGCAACCUCCUGGAGCUUGAUCCUUCAGAGCGCUGACCCAGAACAGACGAGCCUGUUUCCAGAGUUGGAUGCCGGUCAUGCCCCUGUGCUGCUAUCACCUCAACGCUGCCGAAACAUGCUUCAGCCUUCAUGAGCGAGCCAUGGAAGGCGCCAUUGUUUUGCUUCUAUAGGCCCUUUCUCGGUCGAUCUCGCUGCCUUGUUGGAGAUUUCAGUGGUUAGAGAGCUCACUUCGUUAGUGCAUACAUCCCACCAGGUCCACAGCGAGAUGAUUGUUAUCUGUAAAAGUAAGGCUCCUUCCAUGAAGAAUACGUAGUGCAUCAGUAGCUGCUAUGCUCAGGUCGAUCAACUGGAGACCUAACUGUCAAGCUCUACCCUUCUUUAACUACCCUUUGAAUGUUCAUGUGCUGUACAAAUUAAAGACUGCUAUGAGCGAACCACCAAGCAAGUUGUUUGAUCCAUCCUUUCUUAUGAUGUGACACCCUUAGAACUUCCAAUUACCUAGGGAGUUAUUUCAUUUAUCAAAUCAAAGCACCCUAGAUGACGUAUUAUAUUGCUAACCAGAGGCAUAACCCUUCUUUCCCCUCAUAAAGGCAGUAGUCAGUUACAGGACUGGAAACUAAACACUGACAAUCAUAGCCACGUAUCACAACACUACAGCAGAUCAAAUCACAUACUGAUCUCUUUGAAUCUGCAUCAUUUAUGAUCAUUACAGCUUGACAUCAACAAAACACAACCGCAACAAUUACCACAUCUUAGUCGCACGCACCCACUCCAGCUGUCUAGCAGUGAUUGACAACAAAAGCACAACAAAAAGACCUUACUCCUCAAAUUUGUUAUCCAAACCUCAGCUUCCGCAUGCUAGUACUUACCGGGACAUCCUUGAUCUUUGAUCCAGUAGACUCGGGCUCCUUCAACUUGUGUGAUUUGCGAUCAUCCUCUACAGAAACUGCAAAGAAAACCAUGAUUCAAUACUUCAUGUAUAGUUAUAGUUUUCCACACAACAUAGAAUUGUCAAAAAAAAAUGAUAUUCAUUAUUUGAACUGCUUAGAUAAGCCAAAAAGUGAACUACUGAGGUACUGACUCUCAAUUAGCAUCUCACUAUCAACAAAGCCUGAAACACAAUUCCAGAUCUUCUUCACAACCACUCACUCAAAAAACACACGAUGCAUACUCAUUUUCACAUCAAAAAGGCAAGAACGAUCUGCUCUAUUUUUUAAGUCACAACUCAUAUUUUACUUUCAUCCAAAUCGGAACACUUUAUCCAUGCAGCAAGAAGAAACAAAUUUAAAUUUAUCAAAUUAGACACAGUUUGACCAAUUGCUCAUUGGCACAUCAGCCAAAUGUUAGCUACAAUGUCCCUCAGAAUUGUCCAAGAACAGUGAUACAUGUCAAUAGUAUCAACAUCCCAGGUUGGAAACUGAAUAUAGGAAUACUGGCCAAAGUAGGCAAUAAUUAUAAUGCAUUCAUCCCUCCAAAAGGCAACUAAUAAAAAACUGCAGAUAAGUAGUGACUCAGAAUACUCAGUUGUUACUCUACUUGAUGUCAUAUGCUGAAAUCUCCCUUAGAUAACCUAUCAAUUUCCACUUUACAAAGCAGCACUUUACAAAGUUAC